rnacentral:rRNA from 1 species
UGAGGAAUAUUGGUCAAUGGGCGAGAGCCUGAACCAGCCAAGUAGCGUGCGGGACGACGGCCCUAUGGGUUGUAAACCGCUUUUGAUUGGGAACAAAGAGCGCCACGUGUGGUGCGUUGCGUGUACCUUUCGAAUAAGCAUCGGCUAAUUCCGUGCCAGCAGCCGCGGUAAUACGGAAGAUGCGAGCGUUAUCCGGAUUUAUUGGGUUUAAAGGGAGCGUAGGCGGGCUGUUAAGUCAGCGGUCAAAUGUCAGGGCCCAACCUUGGCAUGCCGUUGAUACUGGUGGCCUUGAGUUCACACAAGGAAGGUGGAAUUCGUCGUGUAGCGGUGAAAUGCUUAGAUAUGACGAAGAACUCCGAUUGCGAAGGCAGCCUUCUGGGGUGUUACUGACGCUGA